rnacentral:rRNA from 1 species
UACAGAGGUCUCAAGCGUUUGUUCGGAUUCAUUGGGCGUAAAGGGUGUGUAGGUGGCGCCGUAAGUCGGGUGUGAAAUUUCGGAGCUUAACUCCGAAACUGCAUUCGAUACUGCGGUGCUUGAGGACUGGAGAGGAGACUGGAAUUUACGGUGUAGCGGUGAAAUGCGUAGAUAUCGUAAGGAAGACCAGUGGCGAAGGCGGGUCUCUGGACAGUUCCUGACGCUGAGGCACGAAGGUCAGGGGAGCAAACGGG